rnacentral:rRNA from 1 species
CCUACGGGUGGCAGCAGUGGGGAAUAUUGGGCAAUGGGCGCAAGCCUGACCCAGCAACGCCGCGUGAAGGAAGAAGGCUUUCGGGUUGUAAACUUCUUUUGACAGGGAAGAGCAGAAGACGGUACCUGUCGAAUAAGCACCGGCUAACUACGUGCCAGCAGCCGCGGUAAUACGUAGGGUGCGAGCGUUAAUCGGAAUUACUGGGCGUAAAGGGUGUGCAGGCGGUUUUGCAAGAUGGAUGUGAAAGCCCCGGGCUUAACCUGGGAAAGCCAUACAUGACUGCAAGACUAGAGUGCGUCAGAGGGGGGUGGAAUUCCAAGUGUAGCAGUGAAAUGCGUAGAUAUUUGGAAGAACACCGAUGGCGAAGGCAGCCCCCUGGGACGCAACUGACGCUCAUACACGAAAGCGUGGGGAGCAAACAGGAUUAGAUACCCCUGUAGUC